GCCAGACUCCUACGGGAGGCAGCAGUGGGGAAUAUUGCACAAUGGGGGGAACCCUGAUGCAGCGAUGCCGCGUGGAGGAAGAAGGUUUUCGGAUUGUAAACUCCUUUUAUCAGGGACGAUAAUGACGGUACCUGAAGAAAAAGCUCCGGCUAACUACGUGCCAGCAGCCGCGGUAAUACGUAGGGAGCAAGCGUUGUCCGGAAUUACUGGGUGUAAAGGGAGCGUAGGCGGGAGGAUAAGUUGAAUGUGAAAUCUAUGGGCUCAACCCAUAGCUGCGUUCAAAACUGUUCUUCUUGAGUGAAGUAGAGGCGGGCGGAAUUCCUAGUGUAGCGGUGAAAUGCGUAGAUAUUAGGAGGAACACCAGUGGCGAAGGCGGCCUGCUGGGCUUUUACUGACGCUGAGGCUCGAAAGCGUGGGUAGCAAACAGGAUUAGAUACCCGCGUA
rnacentral:rRNA from 1 species